GAUGAACGCUGGCGGCGUGCCUAAUACAUGCAAGUCGAGCGAACGGACGAGAAGCUUGCUUUUCUGAUGUUAGCGGCGGACGGGUGAGUAACACGUGGAUAACCUACCUAUAAGACUGGGAUAACUUCGGGAAACCGGAUCUAAUACCGUAUAAUAUUUUGAACCGCAUGGUUCAUAAGUGAAAGACGGUCUUGCUGUCACUUAUAGAUGGAUCCGCGCUGCAUUAGCUAGUUGGUAAGGUAACGGCUUACCAAGGCAACGAUGCAUAGCCGACCUGAGAGGGUGAUCGGCCACACUGGAACUGAGCCACGGUCAAGACUCCUACGGGAGGCAGCAGUAGGGAAUCUUACGCAAUGGGCGAAAGCCUGACGGAGCAACGCCGCGUGAGUGAUGAAGGUCUUCGGAUCGUAAAACUCUGUUAUUAGGGAAGAACAUAUGUGUAAGUAAAUGUGCACAUCUUGACGGUACCUAAUCAGAAAGCCACGGCUAACUACGUG
rnacentral:rRNA from 1 species